rnacentral:rRNA from 1 species
AAUUGACAUUACAACUUUCAGCGGUGGAUGUCUAGGUUCCCACAACGAUGAAGAACGCAGCGAAAUGCGAUACGUAAUGCGAAUUGCAAGACCUCGUGAAUCAUUAAGAUUUUGAACGCACAUUGCGCUUUCGGGAUUUUCCCGGUAGCAUGCUUGUCUGAGUGUCUGUGGA